CGCUUAAACAGCGCGACCGGGCCCCUUCCUGUUUGGCAGCCGGCUGGGAGGAAGUGAGUGCCGCGCGUCACUUCCUCCUACAGGAGAUCAGAGCCGCGCGGGAGGAGGAAGGCAGGGAGGAGAGGAGUUUCAGAGGAGAACUCCCAACUGACUCAGCCUGCCACUGGACCCCAGGGAAACCACUCUCCAGAAAAGGUAAGGG